rnacentral:lncRNA from 1 species
CAAGGAAUGGUAGUCGUCGAGACAGAUCACAGUGGUCGUGUCACUGAUGAGUGUGUUGGAAUCGGGGUUCCCGCCUUUCGGUGGCUCGGCGGCGCCGCCGAAGACGCUUGUGAGCCUCCGCAUGAAGGUGCUUUUGCCGCAUCCGGAGUCGGCGGCGAGUCCGAUCACGAUGGUUUGUUGUGCGGCGCAAGUGAUGAUUGUGUUGAAUCUACGGUUGGUUUGGGAUUGACGACGGUAGAAGAAGACUUGUUUCGAGGAGGAAGAAGAUGGAGAAGAGGUUAAGAAAUGAGUUGAGUUGAGAGCUUGUGUUGAGUAGAUUGUUGAGACAGCCAUUGUUGUUGUUUGGUUCCUGCUUCCUCUUCUUCUCCGCCUAAGCUCUCUGUUUUUUUCUUUUUUGGUUUUGUGAGCUAAGGUUGAGUGAUGAAUAUUAGGAUAGAAUGAAAGAAAUGUGGGUAACGAUUUUUGAUUUAUGGGUUUUUGUGUGGUGAUGUAAAGAUGUGGUUUUUCUUCAAAUAAAAAAAUAAAUGGGGUUUUUUUUUUAUGGGGGAAAGAGAGAAAUGAGAGGAUGAAAAUGGGUUUGUAGGAAAACAAAUGGCAAUUUGCAAAGAAGAAAAAAAGAGUUUUGUUUUGUUUUGAUUUUGAUAUGAUUUAGUGUGGUUUUUUAAUGAGUGGUUCAUGUUUUGGUUUCUUGAAGUAAAUUCAUCUGGUAAUGUUGUUAAAGAUAAGUUUUAGUCUCUUUGUUAAAGAUAAUUGUUGAUAAGUAAAAGAUUUCUAGCCCCAAAAAACCCAAGAAACAUGUAGAUUUACUUCCUUUUAGAUUUGCGUAAUCCCUAUUGUUUAAUAAUGAUUGGAUAUUGAAGUUUCGGAGAGAGUGAAGUUGCCGAUGAUGAAGUGAUAAAAC